CCUACGGGAGGCAGCAGUGGGGAAUAUUGCACAAUGGGCGCAAGCCUGAUGCAGCAACGCCGCGUGAGGGAAGACGGUUUUCGGAUUGUAAACCUCUGUCUUUGGUGACGAAGAAGUGACGGUAGCCAAGGAGGAAGCCACGGCUAACUACGUGCCAGCAGCCGCGGUAAUA
rnacentral:rRNA from 1 species